UGGGGAAUAUUGGGCAAUGGGCGAAAGCCUUACCCAGCAAUGCCGCGUGAGUGAAGAAGGUCUUCGGAUUGUAAAGCUCUUUGAUUGGGGACGAAUAAAUGACGGUACCCAAAGAACAAGCCCCGGCUAACUACGUGCCAGCAGCCGCGGUAAUACGUAGGGGGCAAGCGUUGUCCGGAAUGACUGGGCGUAAAGGGUGUGUAGGCGGGCCUGCAAGUUGGAUGUGUAAUACCCAGAGCUUAACUCGGGUGCUGCAUCUGAAACUACGGGUCUUGAGUGUCGGAGAGGUAAGUGGAAUUCCUAGUGUAGCGGUGGAAUGCGUAGAUAUUAGGAGGAACAUCAGUGGCGAAGGCGACUUACUGGACGAUAACUGACGCUGAGGCACGAAAGCGUGGGGAGCAAACAGG
rnacentral:rRNA from 1 species